rnacentral:rRNA from 1 species
CUACGGAACUCCUACGGGAGGCAGCAGUGGGGAAUAUUGGACAAUGGGCGCAAGCCUGAUCCAGCCAUGCCGCGUGAGUGAUGAAGGCCUUAGGGUUGUAAAGCUCUUUCACCGAUGAAGAUAAUGACGGUAGCCGGAGAAGAAGCCCCGGCUAACUUCGUGCCAGCAGCCGCGGUAAUACGAAGGGGGCUAGCGUUGUUCGGAAUUACUGGGCGUAAAGCGCACGUAGGCGGAUAUUUAAGUCAGGGGUGAAAUCCCGCAGCUCAACUGCGGAACUGCCUUUGAUACUGGGUAUCUUGAGUAUGGAAGAGGUUAGUGGAAUUGCGAGUGUAGAGGUGAAAUUCGUAGAUAUUCGCAGGAACACCAGUGGCGAAGGCGGCUAACUGGUCCAUAACUGACGCUGAGGUGCGAAAGCGUGGGGAGCAAACAGGAUUAGAAACCCUGGUAGUCCUCUUCGA